AAGACAUCAAUUGAGAGUACAUUUUUAAUAUUGUUACAUUUGUAAGUAAUAUGUAUUAGUUGAAUAGUCUAUAUAUGUAUACUGGAGAUAGUGUUAUAACAUAGUUAAACACACGGCCUAUUGGAAGAUCACAAUAUUUUUAUUUUACUUAUUUUUAUACAUGUAUGUAGCUUGUGAAAUAGUACCGUGUUUAAAUAAAGUUUAAUAAUAAUAAUCCAUUAACUCAAAAUACGAUUAAAGCUUAAAUAUUUAAAAAGAUAAAGAGGAAAUAUUUCUAUAGCCUUGAGAGUUUCAUUAGCGGAAAUUCAAUAAAAACUCUCACUUCGGUGAUUUAGUUUAAGCCGGGGCAGAGGUUUGGUGAAAUAAAAAUCGUAUAUAGACGAUAUUUAUCACAAGUACAAUUUAGCGUUUCACCGUUUUUGGUGGUUGGACGAUUUUUCUCACAUGAGGUGAAUUAUCGUCGCAGCGUUUUGAUUGGAAGCGUUUUAACGCUC
rnacentral:lncRNA from 1 species